CCCUUUUUUCUAUUCUCUUCUUCUUAUCUCGAAACCCUAGCCCUUCUUUCUUUUUUCGUCGCUGUCGGUAUCCCCUUGGUGCGGUGGCAAGACGGUCGCUGGUGCUCUCUUUUCCCUCCUCUCUUCUUCUCUUUUUUCUCUUCUCUCCUAUUUCUCUCCUUUUUUCUUCUUGUUUCGUUUAUUUAGGGAGGGGGAAUUGUUUGAAAAAUAAAGGGAAAAGAGAAAGGGCGGAAACGGAGGUAGAUGCGAUGGUGGUAGUGACGGUGGGGGCAACGAACGUGGUGGCAGGGGAGGGUAUCAUGGGCCUAGGCCGUCUGCCGGAGUAGCUAGAGGUGGGGGAGCACGCCUGACUGCCGAUUGGGGCGUCAGACGCGAAGAACAGUGCACAGGUUUUAACAUACCCAGAAGGACCAAACUGUAGAUGAUGCAAAACUUUUGGGGUUAAAAUGUAAUCUUAGGAAAGUUAGGGGUCAAAAUGUAACUUCUAGAAAGUUUAGGGGAUAAAAUGUAAUUUAUGAAAAGUUAAGGGUUAAAAUGUAAUUUUAAGAAAGUUAGGGGUCAAAAUGUAAUUUAUAUUUUUAUAUUUUCCAAAAUUUUAUUAAUAUUA